GUAGGUGGCAAGCGUUGUCCGGAAUUAUUGGGCGUAAAGCGCGCGCAGGCGGUCCUUUAAGUCUGAUGUGAAAGCCCACGGCUCAACCGUGGAGGGUCAUUGGAAACUGGGGGACUUGAGUACAGAAGAGGAAAGCGGAAUUCCAAGUGUAGCGGUGAAAUGCGUAGAGAUUUGGAGGAACACCAGUGGCGAAGGCGGCUUUCUGGUCUGUAACUGACGCUGAGGCGCGAAAGCGUGGGGAGCAAACAGGAUUAGAUACCCUGGUAGUCCACGCCGUAAACGAUGAGUGCUUAGUGUUAGGGGGUUUCCCGCCCCCUUAGUGCUGCAGCUAACGCAUUAAGCACUCCGCCUGGGGAGUACGGCCGCAAGGCUG
rnacentral:rRNA from 1 species